CAUUCCUACGGGGGGCAGCAGUGGGGAAUCUUGCGCAAUGGGCGAAAGCCUGACGCAGCAACGCCGCGUGGGGGAUGAAGCUUCUCGGAGUGUAAACCCCUUUCGACCCGGACGAAUGCCCGCAAGGGCUUGACGGUACGGGUAUAAGAAGCCCCGGCUAACUACGUGCCAGCAGCCGCGGUAAAACGUAGGGGGCCAGCGUUGCUCGGAAUUACUGGGCGUAAAGGGUCCGUAGGCGGUGUGGCAAGUCGGAAGUGAAAUCUCUGGGCUUAACUCAGAGGCUGCUUCCGAAACUGCUGUGCUAGAGUGUGAGAGAGGCGAGUGGAAUUGCGGGUGUAGCGGUGAAAUGCGUAGAUAUCCGCAGGAACAUCCGAGGCGAAGGCGGCUCGCUGGAUCACAACUGACGCUGAGGGACGAAAGCUAGGGGAGCAAACAGGAUUAGAUACCCU
rnacentral:rRNA from 1 species